rnacentral:rRNA from 1 species
UGAACGCUAGCUACAGGCUUAACACAUGCAAGUCGAGGGGCAGCAUUUUAGUUUGCUUGCAAACUGAAGAUGGCGACCGGCGCACGGGUGAGUAACACGUAUCCAACCUGCCGAUAACUCCGGGAUAGCCUUUCGAAAGAAAGAUUAAUACCGGAUAGCAUACGAAUAUCGCAUGAUAUUUUUAUUAAAGAAUUUCGGUUAUCGAUGGGGAUGCGUUCCAUUAGUUUGUUGGCGGGGUAACGGCCCACCAAGACUACGAUGGAUAGGGGUUCUGAGAGGAAGGUCCCCCACAUUGGAACUGAGACACGGUCCAAACUCCUACGGGAGGCAGCAGUGAGGAAUAUUGGUCAAUGGGCGAGAGCCUGAACCAGCCAAGUAGCGUGAAGGAUGAAGGCUCUAUGGGUCGUAAACUUCUUUUAUAUGGGAAUAAAGUUUUCCACGUGUGGAAUUUUGUAUGUACCAUAUGAAUAAGGAUCGGCUAACUCCGUGCCAGCAGCCGCGGUAAUACGGAGGAUCCGAGCGUUAUCCGGAUUUAUUGGGUUUAAAGGGAGCGUAGGUGGAUUGUUAAGUCAGUUGUGAAAGUUUGCGGCUCAACCGUAAAAUUGCAGUUGAAACUGGCAGUCUUGAGUACAGUAGAGGUGGGCGGAAUUCGUGGUGUAGCGGUGAAAUGCUUAGAUAUCACGAAGAACUCCGAUUGCGAAGGCAGCUCACUAGACUGUCACUGACACUGAUGCUCGAAAGUGUGGGUAUCAAACAGGAUUAGAUACCCUGGUAGUCCACACAGUAAACGAUGAAUACUCGCUGUUUGCGAUAUACAGUAAGCGGCCAAGCGAAAGCAUUAAGUAUUCCACCUGGGGAGUACGCCGGCAACGGUGAAACUCAAAGGAAUUGACGGGGGCCCGCACAAGCGGAGGAACAUGUGGUUUAAUUCGAUGAUACGCGAGGAACCUUACCCGGGCUUAAAUUGCAACAGAAUAUAUUGGAAACAGUAUAGCCGUAAGGCUGUUGUGAAGGUGCUGCAUGGUUGUCGUCAGCUCGUGCCGUGAGGUGUCGGCUUAAGUGCCAUAACGAGCGCAACCCUUAUCUUUAGUUACUAACAGGUUAUGCUGAGGACUCUAGAGAGACUGCCGUCGUAAGAUGUGAGGAAGGUGGGGAUGACGUCAAAUCAGCACGGCCCUUACGUCCGGGGCUACACACGUGUUACAAUGGGGGGUACAGAAGGCGGCUACCUGGUGACAGGAUGCUAAUCCCAAAAACCUCUCUCAGUUCGGAUCGAAGUCUGCAACCCGACUUCGUGAAGCUGGAUUCGCUAGUAAUCGCGCAUCAGCCAUGGCGCGGUGAAUACGUUCCCGGGCCUUGUACACACCGCCCGUCAAGCCAUGAAAGCCGGGGGUACCUGAAGUACGUAACCGCAAGGAGCGUCCUAGGGUAAAACUGGUAAUUGGGGCUA